rnacentral:rRNA from 1 species
AUUGAACGCUGGCGGCAUGCUUUACACAUGCAAGUCGAACGGCAGCGAGGAGAAGCUUGCUUCUCUGUCGGCGAGUGGCGAACGGGUGAGUAUAGCAUCGGAACGUGCCAAGUAGUGGGGGAUAACCAAACGAAAGUUUGGCUAAUACCGCGUAAGCUCUAAGGAGGAAAGUAGGGGACCUAAAUAAGGCCUUACGCUAUUUGAUCGGCCGAUGUCGGAUUAGCUAGUUGGUGGGGUAAUGGCUCACCAAGGCAAUGAUCCGUAGCGGGUCUGAGAGGACGAUCCGCCACACUGGGACUGAGACACGGCCCAGACUCCUACGGGAGGCAGCAGUGGGGAAUUUUGGACAAUGGGGGAAACCCUGAUCCAGCCAUGCCGCGUGUAUGAAGAAGGCCUUAGGGUUGUAAAGCACUUUUGUUAGGGAAGAAAAGCUAGUUUUUAAUAAAAAUUAGUGAUGACGGUACCUAAAGAAUAAGCACCGGCUAACUACGUG